UUGAAGUGAAAAUUCAAGGAUAAUCUAGUGCAUGAACUUCAAUUUACACUCAUCUAAACUCGAAUAUUGAAGUGGUAAGUUCAAUUUCUUGAAAUUAUGAUUUGCGUGAAAGAAGAAGGUUCAAACACUAGGAAAUCGGAAGGCUCACAAGAUCGAGGUAAAUCCUCAACAUAAGCGAUUGGACGAUUUGGAACGAGCACACAUGAUCUAUGCCCACCUCACGCUUCCGACAAUGCUAACUUAAUAUGGUCUUAAUUUUUGGUUUUAUGUACUUUCAACUUAUGUAGUCUUUUGAUGUCCUUGUAGUAUGGUCAAUGACUUUGUCGUUGUAGUCUUGUUUUUGAACA
rnacentral:lncRNA from 1 species